rnacentral:rRNA from 1 species
CACGGGGGGAGCAAGCGUUGUUCGGAAUCACUGGGCGUAAAGGGCGUGUAGGCGGUCAUGUAAGUGGAAUGUGAAAUCCCUCGGCUUACCCGAGGACCGGCAUCCCAAACUGCAUGGCUUGAGUACGGGAGAGGAUAGGGGAAUUCCUGGUGUAGCGGUGAAAUGCGUAGAUAUCAGGAGGAACACCGGUGGCGAAGGCGCCUAUCUGGCCCGAUACUGACGCUGAGGCGCGAAAGCUAGGGGAGCAAACGGG